rnacentral:rRNA from 1 species
ACGCACGCUGGCGGCAUGCCUAACACAUGCAAGUCGCACGAGACCUUCGGGUCUAGUGGCGCACGGGUGCGUCACGCGUGGGAACCUGCCCUUAGGUUCGGAAUAACUCCCCGAAAGGGGUGCUAAUACCGGAUAAUGUCUUCGGACCAAAGAUUUAUCGCCUUUGGAUGGGCCCGCGUUGGAUUAGCUAGUUGGUAGGGUAAAAGCCUACCAAGGCGACGAUCCAUAGCUGGUCUGAGAGGAUGAUCAGCCACACUGGGACUGAGACACGGCCCAGACUCCUACGGGAGGCAGCAGUGGGGAAUAUUGGACAAUGGGCGAAAGGCUGAUCCAGCAAUGCCGCGUGAGUGAUGAAGGCCUUAGGGUUGUAAAGCUCUUUUACCCGGGAUGAUAAUGACAGUACCGGGAGAAUAAGCUCCGGCUAACUCCGUG